rnacentral:rRNA from 1 species
GAUGAACGCUGGCGGCGUGCCUAAUACAUGCAAGUCGUACGGAAAGGCCCUUCGGGGUACUCGAGUGGCGGACGGCUGAGUAACGCGUGGGAACGUGCCCCAAAGUGAGGGAUAACGCACCGAAAGGUGUGCUAAUACCGCAUAUGGUCUUCGGAUUAAAGCUUCGGCGCUUUGGGAGCGGCCCGCGUACGAUUAGAUAGUUGGUGAGGUAAUGGCUCACCAAGUCGACGAUCGUUAGCUGGUCUGAGAGGAUGAUGAGCCAGACUGGGACUGAGACACGGCCCAGACUCCUACGGGAGGCGGCAGCAAGGAAUCUUCCACAAUGGGGGCAACCCUGAUGGAGCAACGCCGCGUGCAGGAUGAAGGUUUUCGGAUCGUAAACUGCUUUUAUAAGUGAAGAAUAUGACGGUAACUUAUGAAUAAGGAUCGGCUAACUACGUGCCAGCCGCCGCGGUAA